rnacentral:tRNA from 1 species
GGCAGUGUGAUGUAGUGGUUGGAGAGUUGGACUAGGGCUCUGGAGACCAAGGUUCAAUUCCCAGCUCAGCCA